rnacentral:rRNA from 1 species
UGGGGAAUAUUGCACAAUGGGGGAAACCCUGAUGCAGCGACGCCGCGUGAAGGAAGAAGUAUUUCGGUAUGUAAACUUCUAUCAGCAGGGAAGAAGAUGACGGUACCUGAGUAAGAAGCACCGGCUAAAUACGUGCCAGCAGCCGCGGUAAUACGUAUGGUGCAAGCGUUAUCCGGAUUUACUGGGUGUAAAGGGAGCGUAGACGGAUAGGCAAGUAUGGAGUGAAAACCCAGGGCUAAACUCUGGGACUGCUUUGGAAACUGCAGAUCUGGAGUGCCGGAGAGGUAAGCGGAAUUCCUAGUGUAGCGGUGAAAUGCGUAGAUAUUAGGGGGAACACCAGUGGCGAAGGCGGCUUACUGGACGGUGACUGACGUUGAGGCUCGAAAGCGUGGGGAGCAAACAGG